GGGCUCAAUUCAGCAGCAUGCACACUAAAAGGGAAAGGACACAAAGAAGAUUUCAUGGCUCCUGUACAAGGAGGCCACAUCAACUCAUAAAGCGUUCCAUAUUUGC
ensembl:snRNA U6 U6 spliceosomal RNA